CAGCAGCCGCGGGAAUACGAAGGGUGCAAGCGUUAAUCGGAAUUACUGGGCGUAAAGCGCGCGUAGGUGGUUUGGUAAGAUGGAUGUGAAAUCCCCGGGCUCAACCUGGGAACUGCAUCCAUAACUGCCUGACUAGAGUACGGUAGAGGGUGGUGGAAUUUCCUGUGUAGCGGUGAAAUGCGUAGAUAUAGGAAGGAACACCAGUGGCGAAGGCGACCACCUGGACUGAUACUGACACUGAGGUGCGAAAGCGUGGGGAGCAAACAGGAUUAGAGACCUUAGUAGUCCCUGUCUCUUAUAU
rnacentral:rRNA from 1 species